UACAGAGGGUGCGAGCGUUGUCCGGAAUCACUGGGCGUAAAGGGCGCGUAGGCGGUCAGCACAAGUCAGUUGUGAAAUCUCCGGGCUUAACUCGGAAAGGUCAACUGAUACUGUGCGACUAGAGUGCAGAAGGGGCAACUGGAAUUCUCGGUGUAGCGGUGAAAUGCGUAGAUAUCGAGAGGAACACCUGCGGCGAAGGCGGGUUGCUGGGCUGACACUGACGCUGAUGCGCGAAAGCCAGGGGAGCGAACGGG
rnacentral:rRNA from 1 species